UACGUAGGGUGCAAGCGUUGUCCGGAAUUAUUGGGCGUAAAGAGCUCGUAGGCGGUCUGUCGCGUCGGCUGUGAAAACCCGGGGCUCAACCCCGGGCCUGCAGUCGAUACGGGCAGACUAGAGUGCGGUAGGGGAGACUGGAAUUCCUGGUGUAGCGGUGAAAUGCGCAGAUAUCAGGAGGAACACCGGUGGUGUAGACGGCUUUCUGGACCGUAACUGACGCUGAGACACGAAGCGUGGGUAGCAAACAGG
rnacentral:rRNA from 1 species